UGGGCUACACGCGGGCUACAAUGGGUGGGACAAUGGGUAUCGACACCGAAAGGUGAAGGCAAUCUCCUAAACCCAUCCGUAGUUCGGAUUGUGGGCUGCAACUCGCCCACAUGAAGCUGGAAUCUGUAGUAAUCGUGUCUCAAAAUGGCACGGUGAAUAUGUCCCUGCUCCUU
rnacentral:rRNA from 1 species